rnacentral:rRNA from 1 species
UACGUAGGGGGCGAGCGUUGUCCGGAUUCAUUGGGCGUAAAGAGCUCGUAGGCGGCUUGGCAAGUCGGAUGUGAAAACUCCAGGCUCAACCUGGAGCCGCCAUUCGAUACUGCUAUGGCUAGAGUCCGGUAGGGGAGUGUGGAAUUCCCGGUGUAGCGGUGAAAUGCGCAGAUAUCGGGAGGAACACCGAUGGCGAAGGCAGGUCUCUGGGCCACUACUGACGCUGAGAAGCGAAAGCAUGGGGAGCGAACAGG